GUGCAUGUGGACAUCCUUGUAUUGUUCUAGUUCUCAGAGGGAAUGCUUUCAACUUUUCCCCAUUUAGUAUGAUGUUGGAGGUGGGUUUGUCAUAGAUGCCUUUUAUUACUUUGAGCUAACCAGGGACAUUGCCCACAGCAGCCAAGUUGCCUGGAAAAGGAUACCAAGCAUUUAAGACUUUCUGCGUGUUCUCCUCACUUCGAAAUGUGGAAUGAUUUAUCAGUAGACUGUAAAUAAUCCUAACAACUGGACUGUCUAGCUUUGUAGCAGCUACUCACAUCUCAGUUUUCUAAUGGCCCAUUUAUAAAACAUUUAAAAAUAUACCUUCUGAUUAAAAUCAUUGGUCCAAUCGAUUCAUUAUAUUUUUAUAAGUAGUCUUCAUGUAUUCUAAUAAAAUGCCGCAUAACACUGA